AACUUUCAGCAACGGAUCUCUUGGCUCUCGCAUCGAUGAAGAACGCAGCGAAAUGCGAUAAGUAAUGUGAAUUGCAGAAUUCAGUGAAUCAUCGAAUCUUUGAACGCACCUUGCACUCCUUGGUAUUCCAAGGAGUAUGCCUGUUUGAGUGUC
rnacentral:rRNA from 1 species